AUAAAUCAGCAGUCACACUGUUCAAAACAUCGAAGUUACGGUAAAAAGACGCGCGUGUGUGAUCGGAAAAAGUUUGAGCGCCGCUGCAAGCACAAAAUGCAAUAAAAUAAAUGGUAGACUACAGCGGCUCCGCGCCUCGUGUGAUAAAAAAGAUAAUGCAAUAUUAAGAGAGCCAGAGAAAUCAAAUCGGUUGGCGCUUUUAGUAGAAUUUCGCGAGAUUUUCCAACGGCGUUUGUGGCUAUUCGUGGUCCGGUGUUUUGUGAUUUCCUUGUUGGAUAUAAACAGAGAUACCAAGUGCUAUAUAGUUGAAUGAAAACGCUGUGAAAAUUUCAAUUUAAUAGACGGAGUUCGACGCUCCCCCCUAACGACCGUGAAAAUAAGCAAAAACAUAAAGCCAGCAGAACAGCAACAGAGCGACGCGUUUAUGGCCGUAACUGUAAAUAUUCGCGGAGUUUAGCGGGUAAGCCGGGGCUGCUUUUAAUAGUUGCUGCCAGCAGCAGUUAAACCCCCAAAGAUUGCCAUUUUGAUUUAUUCUAAUUAAAAGAGAGAAAAAAAGGUGGCAGAGGUAACCAGCUCUAACCGAAUCAAAGGUGCAGCAAUGUCCCCAAAAACCGCAAGGACUAACCAGCAGAAGCAGCAACAGAAGCAACAGCAGCAACAGCAGCAGAUGUCCGACGAGGAGUGGCAGCGGCAGUAGGC